GUUCCUAUAGCGCAAUGGAUAGCGCGUUGGACUUAAAAUCCGAAGGUCGUGGGCUCCAAUCCCGCUUGGGAUG